UUUGAUUUGAUUUUUCCUCUAACAUUGCGCGACGAGAGUCGCGAGUAUGCAUGCAUAUAUGACUGAAUUUGAUUGAUGAUAAAAAUGUGUUAAAGGUUGGUGGUGGAGUAGGUAAAAGGGUAAGAGGAGAAGUUCUCAAAAGAAUCAAUAAAAGGGUGGUGGUGGUGGUGAUGCAUAUGAGAUUCCAAAGACAGGUGGUAUAGGCCCUUCAUAUACAGGUGGUGGUGGCGGCGAUGAAUAUACCGGUGGUGGAGGUGAGGGAUAUGCAUAUACUGGUGAUGGUGGGGGUGAGGUGUAUACCGGUGGUGGCGGUGAGGGAUAGGCAUAUACUGGUGAUGGUGGUGGUGAUGGGGAUGGUGGUGGGUGAUAAGGUGUUUGAUGUGGCGCUGGCGAUGAUGGUGGUGGAGGUUCUACACAAGGUGGCGGUGGAGGUGGUGGAGGUUCUACACAAGGUGGUGGAGAUGGCGGUGGUGGUGAAUAGACUGGUGGUGGAGGUGAGUGUACUGGAGGAGGUGGUGGGGGUGAUAAAUAUGGAUAUACGGGUGGAGGAGGUGA
rnacentral:lncRNA from 1 species